GACGUAGGGCGCGAGCGUUGUCCGGAUUUAUUGGGCGUAAAGAGCUCGUAGGCGGCUUGUCGCGUCGUCCGUGAAAACCUGCAGCUCAACUGCAGGCUUGCGGUCGAUACGGGCAGGCUAGAGUUCGGUAGGGGAGACUGGAAUUCCUGGUGUAGCGGUGAAAUGCGCAGAUAUCAGGAGGAACACCGGUGGCGAAAGCGCUCAUCUGGCCCAAUACUGACGCUGAGGCGCGAAAGCUAGGGGAGCAAACGGG
rnacentral:rRNA from 1 species